AGUGAACGCUGGCGGUAGGCCUAACACAUGCAAGUCGAACGGCAGCACAGUAAGAGCUUGCUCUUACGGGUGGCGAGUGGCGGACGGGUGAGGAAUACAUCGGAAUCUACUUUUUCGUGGGGGAUAACGUAGGGAAACUUACGCUAAUACCGCAUACGACCUACGGGUGAAAGCAGGGGAUCUUCGGACCUUGCGCGAUUGAAUGAGCCGAUGUCGGAUUAGCUAGUUGGCGGGGUAAAGGCCCACCAAGGCGACGAUCCGUAGCUGGUCUGAGAGGAUGAUCAGCCACACUGGAGCUGAGACACGGUCCAGACUCCUACGGGAGGCAGCAGUGGGGAAUAUUGGACCAUGGGCGCAAGCCUGAUCCAGCCAUACCGCGUGGGUGAAGAAGGCCUUCGGGUUGUAAAGCCCUUUUGUUGGGAAAGAAAAGCAGCAGGUUAAUACCCCGCUGUUCUGACGGUACCCAAAGAAUAAGCACCGGCUAACUUCGUG
rnacentral:rRNA from 1 species